AGAGAAAGUAGUAAGUGUGACACAUCAUUGAAAAGGACCAGGACCACCUCGUCUCAACCCGAUUUUUUGUAAAAGUACAGGAUGAAAACAAUAACUUAUUCUCCAAAAAGAUGUUAUGCUGUUAAACAAGUGUCUUCUGGAGAGGAUCACGGCAUCAUUAUGCGUAUUAGUAUAAAAUAUAUUUCUGUUUUGCACCAUCGAAUGUUUUCACAUUUUGAAUAAUGAAUGAUGAAAAUUAUAGAGAUUAAUGAUAUGCUUUUAUAGAAUGAUAUUCUGGUUUCCAUAAAUGCCAUUGUCAUCAAUAAAUUGUGCCCGCAACUGACAGAUUUAUAAAAUAUGAAUUAAAAUGACAUCAUAACAUGAA